UACGUAGGGGGCAAGCGUUGUCCGGAUUUAUUGGGCGUAAAGAGCGUGUAGGCGGUUCGGUAGGUCCGUUGUGAAAACUCGAGGCUCAACCUCGAGACGCCGAUGGAAACCCUCGAACUAGAGUCCGGAAGAGGAGAGUGGAAUUCCUGGUGUAGCGGUGAAAUGCGUAGAUAUCAGGAGGAACACCAGUGGCGAAGGCGACUCUUUGGUCUGUAACUGACGCUGAGGCGCGAAAGCGUGGGGAGCAAACAGG
rnacentral:rRNA from 1 species